AUUGAACGCUGGCGGCAGGCCUAACACAUGCAAGUCGAGCGGAUGAAGGGAGCUUGCUCCUGGAUUCAGCGGCGGACGGGUGAGUAAUGCCUAGGAAUCUGCCUGGUAGUGGGGGAUAACGUCCGGAAACGGGCGCUAAUACCGCAUACGUCCUGAGGGAGAAAGUGGGGGAUCUUCGGACCUCACGCUAUCAGAUGAGCCUAGGUCGGAUUAGCUAGUUGGUGGGGUAAAGGCCUACCAAGGCGACGAUCCGUAACUGGUCUGAGAGGAUGAUCAGUCACACUAGAACUGAGACACAGUCCAGACUCCUACGGGAGGCAGCAGUGGGGAAUAUUGGACAAUGGGCGAAAGCCUGAUCCAGCCAUGCCGCGUGUGUGAAGAAGGUCUUCGGAUUGUAAAGCGCUUUAAGUUGGGAGGAAGGGCAGUAAGUUAAUACCUUGCUGUUUUGACGUUACCAACAGAAUAAGCACCGGCUAACUUCGUG
rnacentral:rRNA from 1 species